rnacentral:rRNA from 1 species
GAUGAACGCUAGCGGCAGGCCUAACACAUGCAAGUCGAGGGGUAGAGGAAGCUUGCUUCCUUGAGACCGGCGCACGGGUGCGUAACGCGUAUGCAAUCUACCUUUUACAGAGGGAUAGCCCAGAGAAAUUUGGAUCAAUACCUCAUAGUAUAUAACCUUCGCAUGUUGGUUAUAUUAAAGUUCCAACGGUAAAAGAUGGGCAUGCGUCCUAUUAGCUAGAUGGUAAGGUAACGGCUUACCAUGGCAACGAUAGGUAGGGGUCCUGAGAGGGAGAUCCCCCACACUGGUACUGAGACACGGACCAGACUCCUACGGGAGGCAGCAGUGAGGAACAUUGGACAAUGGGCGCAAGCCUGAUCCAGCCAUGCCGCGUGCAGGAAGAAGCAUCUAUGGUGUGUAAACUGCUUUUGUACGGGAAGAAACACCCCGACGUGUCGGGGCUUGACGGUACUGAAAGAAUAAGGAUCGGCUAACUCCGUGCCAGCAGCCGCAGUAACAC